CCUACGGGAGGCAGCAGUGAGGAAUAUUGGUCAAUGGACGAAAGUCUGAACCAGCCAAGUAGCGUGAAGGAUGACUGCCCUAUGGGUUGUAAACUUCUUUUAUAUGGGAAUAAAAUGUUUCACGUGUGGGAUUUUGUAUGUACCAUAUGAAUAAGGAUCGGCUAAUUCCGUGCCAGCAGCCGCGGUAAUACGGAGGAUCCGGGCGUUAUCCGGAUUUAUUGGGUUUAAAGGGAGCGUAGGUGGAUUGUUAAGUCAGUUGUGAAAGUUCGCGGCUCAACCGUAAAAUUGCAGUUGAAACUGGCAGUCUUGAGUGCAGCAGAGGUAGGCGGAAUUCGUGGUGUAGCGGUGAAAUGCUUAGAUAUCACGAAGAACUCCGAUUGCGAAGGCAGCUCACUGGAGUGCAACUGACGCUGAGGCUCGAAAGUGUGGGUAUCGAACAGGAUUAGAUACCCUUGUAGUC
rnacentral:rRNA from 1 species